rnacentral:rRNA from 1 species
ACACUCCUGCGGGAGGCAGCAGUGGGGAAUUUUGGACAAUGGGCGAAAGCCUGAUCCAGCAAUGCCGCGUGAGUGAAGAAGGCCUUCGGGUUGUAAAGCUCUUUUGUCAGGGAAGAAACGGUGAAAGCUAAUAUCUUUUGCUAAUGACGGUACCUGAAGAAUAAGCACCGGCUAACUACGUGCCAGCAGCCGCGGUAAUACGUAGGGUGCAAGCGUUAAUCGGAAUUACUGGGCGUAAAGCGUGCGCAGGCGGUUUUGUAAGUCUGAUGUGAAAUCCCCGGGCUCAACCUGGGAAUUGCAUUGGAGACUGCAAGGCUAGAAUCUGGCAGAGGGGGGUAGAAUUCCACGUGUAGUAGUGAAAUGCGUAGAUAUGUGGAGGAACACCGAUGGCGAAGGCAGCCCCCUGGGUCAAGAUUGACGCUCAUGCACGAAAGCGUGGGGAGCAAACAGGAUUAGAAACCCUUGUAGUCCCAUG